GACAAGAGGACAGAAAAAUGCAUGCAUGGAUCACAGUGAUUGACCCAAACGGACCCGUCACAAAGUCUGUCACCACCCAGUCACCAUGGCGCCCAACUUGGCCGAGACCCGACGGCGGCAGGGAGCACCUUGUCACCGUGGGGAACAGAAACAGCAGCAGGGGGAGAAUUCCCAUGUUGCUGGAGGUGAUGCUGCAGACAAGCCACCAAUCACAGACGGACAAAGACGGAUCCUCCUGGCUGCCUUACAGGACAUCAGUCAAACCCAGCUUUGUUAGCGCCGCAUUCCUCUGCAUUCACUUCAUCAACCAGUCCUGCUCGGGCUCCUCCGUCAAGCAGCGCUCGUGACACCUUGAAUUUUUUCUCUGCGCGCUUUUGAUACUGAAAAUGGCUCAUGAGGUGAUUGUUGACUGCUUGAAUGAUGCUUCUUGUGUUUUUGGUGGCGGCCACCUUUGUGCGGGUCCUGUCAUGUUAUCACAGCGUUUUAAUUAAAAAGAAGGGGACGUACAGACAGACAGGGACACAAUGACGGAUCCCCAGGCUGCUUUACAGGACGCUGCUCAAACAAAGCUCCGGCGGAGCUGCGUGACUUCGCUUUGUCUGUCUGACGACAAUUCUCUGACUCCAACGAUUCUAACUAUGCCUCUGUCGUUGAGACGCACGACACUGUGAGGUGUCAGACACGUAAUUGACGAAAACACUUUUUUUCUACCUGUCACUGUCCUCCAACACACAUGACUUAACAUUUUGCUCUCGAGGCCUUUGCGCACAUUGUUAGAGAUGCACAGGAACAAGGUGUAAAAGUUUCCUCCCCUCCACUAAGCUGUCAGAGGAGAAACACACAGGCAAGAACAAGAUGACAAACUUUCUAAGCUGUUGUUUUUGGUGGCAGACAGGCUGCGUGUGUGUGUGUGUGUGUGUGCGUCUCAGCUGAGAUGGGAAUGUCAGCACAGGACCAGCCCCCUGCUGCUGGACACCAGUCGGGGGUCCGCCUCCCGUGGGACGCGCCCGAUAAGCGCUGUGAAUGUGUGUGUGCUGUGUGUGUGUGACCCAUGCGUGUGCAUCAUAAAUAUGUGCGCGCCUACGUGAGCGCCGGGGGCCGGCGUCUGGGCCGCCUCGGACGGGGGAAGGGAGGUGAGCGCGGUGACAGCCUCAGCUGUGUUGAAUUGUGGGAGAAAAAGAGCUGACGCGACGGGAGCUGAUGUCUGACAUGACCCCUCUCAGCGGGCGCGCGGCGGGGAGCUGGGAGCGGGAGCCGCCGCUGGCCGAGCGCGGCUGUGUGCGCGCGUGUGUGUGUGUGUGUGUGUGUGCGCGCGCGAGGUGGGAAAGUGAAGGGGAAGGACGGUGAGAGGCAAGAACGCGGCGGGGCUUUUUCUUUGGCCGCAUCGCAGCGACGUUGAUAGCGGAGUCUGUGAAACGGCGCCUUGAUGGACGUGACGCCGCACUUUUCCUGCUGUAAACCAAUCCCCUCCACGCCUUGCCGGCCAUUUUCCCUGCCUCCAUAUCAUAUACCUCUCCUUGACCUUCUCGCUCUUUGUUGGUGUCCCUGUGCUCCCUCAUUCCUGCUUUUUCUUCCCGGCUCCGUCCCUCCUGACGGUGCAUUCAGGCCGGUAAAGUGAUCUUGGGGGCGCGGAGCUCGUUGGCCUUCAUUAUUCCCCAAUCACUCCUGCCAUCUUUUGCUCUUUACACUUUCUCGUCUCAUCUCUGUUUGCAUCAUUCCCGAAUUCUUUCAUUCCUCAUCCUUCUACACACACACACACACACACACACACACACACACACACACACACACACACACACACACACACACACACACACACACACCUUCACCCUCUCUUUUCACUGUCUCUCCUUUCUGGGUCUGUUGCUUUGCCAUCAGUCUCUGAUAAGUGCCCACAAAGCCCCCACUGUCUAAUGUGACCCUUUAUUCUUCCCCCAUCCUCUCUCUCUCUCUUUCUCCCUCUCUCUCUCUCUCUCUGUCUCCUUUUUUCCUCCAUCCUGGAGCAGCCAAGCGUGAGGUAAAGAGUGGGGGCCGUUUGUCUUAUACACACACCCAAACUUGUUUUACCUUCAUCCCCUGUUCCCUUCACUUUUCUCUCCUCAUCAUCCUUUCCCAUACUCUGUUUUUAACUUGUCCAACUUUCUUUUGUUCCUCAUCCUCGUCCUGUCUCUCUGUCCUCUAACUUUUCUCGGCCUGCAGGGAAACCUUGCCCUGCUUCUCUCAGGAUGCUGGUGUUUCUCAAAUGGGACCGGGGCUCAGAUCUAACACAUUUAUCCAGAAUAAAAUGUUAGUCUGAGACA
rnacentral:lncRNA from 1 species